CAGCUGGGAAAUAGGACAUGUAUACGACAUAAGAGCUGAGGACUCAGGACAGCAUUGCCUGGAGGGGCUGCAGGGAAGAGGUGUCUCCUGCACCUCCUGAGGCCUGAGCUACAGCCCUGGAGAGGCCUGAACCCCCACCUCAGCUGCUUGACCUGAGGGAAAACGAGGUGGCCUGGGUCAUCUAGGGACUUGAGAGCCAGAAGAAGAGUGGAGUGCAUCAGCCUAGAUUUAUAAACACUCUGCUUACUUAAUCGCCGGUACCCACAAAUCUUCAAAUGACCACAUCAUUGAAUCAAGAAUUGCUGAGUCAUUGAACCUGAACGCUGCUGGACCAUCAAAAGUGAGUCUCUCCAAGUCACAGCAUGGACCCAUCGCUGAGUCGGCACAAAGUGCCCUGCCGAGCCAUGCCUCUUAUCCAUGUUGCCCUUGCUGCUUUUGGUGUCCUUCUAGAUCUUUCCACAAGGCAAAUUCCGCUUGAAGGUCCAAUCCAU